GUCCCUGUAGCGUAAGGAUGCGCUUUGGGAUUUUAACCCAAAGGUCGUGGGUUCAAAUCCUACCUGGGAUG
rnacentral:tRNA from 1 species